rnacentral:lncRNA from 1 species
AUGGGAUGCACCCCUCUUUCAGAGGGGUCUGCAGGAGAAUACAGCAGUGAUCCCAGUGCUUUCGAAUUGAGGCUGCUGGAUGCUCUAGAUCUGCUUACAUCAGACCCCAUCUGCCAGGACCACACGCUGGUCCUGACCAACAGUGAGAGCAGAGACACGAAGGAAAGGAAGACCAGAGGCAGAGCUCUUGACAUGAGUCAAACAAACCCAUGAACCUGAGGGAAGAUGAGUGGUGUCUCUGCAUAAGAUGUCAUGUCUGCACAGCUGGAAUGCACUCACCGCUAUGUAUCCUGCUGAUGGAGCAGAGAG